rnacentral:rRNA from 1 species
CCAGGUUGAUUCUGCCUGACGUAGAUGCUAUUCCCUGAGAUUAACCCAUGCAUGUUAUUGAAGAUCUUUAUGAUCUGAAAGAUGGACGGCUCAGUAAUACUCACUUUAUUUGAUUUAUAUUGGAUAUAACUACGUUAAAGUGUAGAUAAAAAAUAUAAAGUAAGAGUGAGGCCUAUCAGCUAGUUGUUAAGGUAAUGGCUUAACAAGGCAUUGACGGGUAACGGUAUUAUUUUGUAAUAUUCCGGAGAAGGAGCCUGAGAGAUGGCUACUAAGUCUAAGGAUUGCAGCAGGGGCGAAACUUGACCUAUGGAAAUAUUCUGAGGCAGUUAUGGGAAGUAAUUAUAAUUUUUUCGAAUUCUAAAAAUAUUUGAAUUGAUUAAUUGGAGGGCAAAUCAAGUGCCAGCAGCCGCGGUAAUACUUGUUCCGAGAGUGUGUAUGAUGAUUGAUGCAGUUAAAAAGUCCGUAGUUUAUGAUUAAGAAACAAUAUGAGGUUUACUGUAUAGUUGGGAGAGAGAUGAAAUGUGACGACCCUGACUGGACGAACAGAAGCGAAAGCUGUAAACUUGUAUGUAUUUUUUGAACAAGGACGUAAGCUGGAGGAUCGAAGAUGAUUAGAUACCAUUGUAGUUCCAGCAGUAAACUAUGCCAACGAUGUGAUAUGUUUUAUUGUAUUACAUAAUAGAAAUUAGAGUUUUUUGGCUCUGGGGAUAGUAUGAUCGCAAGAUUGAAAAUUAAAGAAAUUGACGGAAGAAUACCACAAGGAGUGGAUUGUGCGGCUUAAUUUGACUCAACGCGGGGUAACUUACCAAUAUUUUAUUAUUUUGAGAAUCUUUUUUAGAUGAGAAUGAUAAUAGUGGUGCAUGGCCGUUUCCAAUGGAUGCUGUGAAGUUUUGAUUAAUUUCAACAAGACGUGAGACCCUUAUUUAUAUUAGACUGACAUUUAUAAUGUAGGAAGGAAA